CUACGGGAGGCAGCAGUGGGGAAUAUUGGACAAUGGGCGAAAGCCUGAUCCAGCCAUGCCGCGUGUGUGAAGAAGGCCUUCGGGUUGUAAAGCACUUUCAGUGGGGAAGAAAGCCUUGGGGCUAAUACCCUCGAGGAAGGACAUCACCCACAGAAGAAGCACCGGCUAACUCCGUGCCAGCAGCCGCGGUAAUACGGAGGGUGCGAGCGUUAAUCGGAAUUACUGGGCGUAAAGCGCGCGUAGGCGGUCUGAUAAGCCGGUUGUGAAAGCCCCGGGCUCAACCUGGGAACGGCAUCCGGAACUGUCAGGCUAGAGUGCAGGAGAGGAAGGUAGAAUUCCCGGUGUAGCGGUGAAAUGCGUAGAGAUCGGGAGGAAUACCAGUGGCGAAGGCGGCCUUCUGGACUGACACUGACGCUGAGGUGCGAAAGCGUGGGUAGCAAACAGGAUUAGAUACCCCUGUAGUC
rnacentral:rRNA from 1 species